UCCGUCGUGAGGCGGAAUCUGAAGGAAGCUGUAGGCAAAGCGCUGGCCUGACGAACAGGAAGCGGAUAGGAGGCGACGCAUUGGGGUGAGGCGGCCAAUAUCGUCAAAGCCCGAUACUUGCACGGAGCGAUGCGGCGUAUAUCCGACAGGCGUAAGCGUGAAGGGGGGUGUG
rfam:Betaproteobacteria bacterium RIFCSPLOWO2_12_FTLL_62_58 rifcsplowo2_12_scaffold_23188, whole genome shotgun sequence.